CUCAGCACUGGAUUCCGAAGGACUUAAGAAGCCGAGCGGGCCGGUCGUUGACUUUUCAAUCGGGAGGACAGGAAAGCACGGCCACCGCAACGAGGCAUUAGUGGAGGUCCGCACGGCUCGUGGUCUGAUUUUAUUGAAAGUCAUGUUAGUCAUAAACAGUCCAUGUUCCUUUGGAUCGAUGCUCGGGAACAAUAUAACGGACAAGAGUUACACCCAUGCAAGCAGCCAGAACGCAAGAGGGAGACGGUUUGCCCAUUGCUGUUUUGCGUCUGCAUUUCUUUUCAUUUGCGCGCGCCCAUCUGGAGGCAACAUGUCAAGUUCUGAAUGAUCUCUGUCAGGGCUGAAGUUCAAAAUCAAUGCAUUUCAUCACAACGGUGUUCGAAAUGCGAUUUUUUUUUUUUUUUUUUUUUUGUUUUUUUUUUUUAAAUAUGACUUUUGUUUGAUUUUUUUUCUACCUGUUCAAUGUCAUUCCUAUUCAUCACCAGUGAACGUUUCCAACUUUAAAUAUUCUUAGACAGGUAAAAACCCUUGAGACGCAAUGUAAAAAAAAGAAAAAUUCUGGACAAAUUGAAAUUGGGAAGAAUUAAAACAAUAUUAAGGCAACAGUAAAUUUACGCUAUGGCAAAAAAAAAAAAAAAAAAAAACUCCUGACAAUGUUGUGACAGGACUAAUUCGACCAAAAUUUAUGCUGCUGUACAGACAAGCUAUUUUUACUAUCAACCACUGCAUUAUCAAAUUAAUGUUACCAUGUAAACCUGCUGUUAAAAAAAAAUAAGAAGAGAGAGAAAUUAUAUUUUGUUAUUUUUGCAUUGUUCGAAAUACCUGAUGUGAACACAUCUCCUGCGUCCAUAUGUUGGAAUAUGUCGAACACUUUCUUGGUAAUGUUGGAAAAAAUAAAUCGUUAGUCGUCGUCAUAUCAAAUUGAAGCUACCACAGAGACGAGAAUCAAUCUGAAGGAAGUCUGUUUUAUUUUUUGGUUUUUUUUUUUGUCAAUUCUGCCUGUUGAUGAUCCUGCUAUCGAACGGCAUUUGGUUAUCAAAAAGAAUUGGAUCCUUUAUGUAUGAAAUGACCGUGAGGAAUAAAAGUUGGCUUCCAUUUUUUUUGUUUGCGUGUUUGUGUGUGUAAUAUGUCAUCGCUGGUUUCAUGAAAAGCCGUGGAAUUGACGAUUAUUGACACAUUUACGUUUUCCCAUAAAACGUCACCGUGUUGGGUCAGAGGAUGUGAAGAGACACUGUCCUCCGUAUGAAAUGGUGAGGUUCUUCUAGCCUUAGUUUCUCAAUUGCACACUGUGGCCGGCCUUUGCAAAAAAAAAAAAAAA